rnacentral:rRNA from 1 species
CUUGCUUCUCGCUGACGAGCGGCGGACGGGUGAGUAAUACUUAGGAAUCUACCUAGUAGUGGGGGAUAGCACGGGGAAACUCGUAUUAAUACCGCAUACGACCUACGGGAGAAAGGGGGCAGUUUACUGCUCUCGCUAUUAGAUGAGCCUAAGUCGGAUUAGCUAGAUGGUGGGGUAAAGGCCUACCAUGGCGACGAUCUGUAGCUGGUCUGAGAGGAUGAUCAGCCACACCGGGACUGAGACACGGCCCGGACUCCUACGGGAGGCAGCAGUGGGGAAUAUUGGACAAUGGGGGAAACCCUGAUCCAGCCAUGCCGCGUGUGUGAAGAAGGCCUUUUGGUUGUAAAGCACUUUAAGCAGUGAAGAAGACUCCAUGGUUAAUACCCAUGGACGAUGACAUUAGCUGCAGAAUAAGCACCGGCUAACUCUGUGCCAGCAGCCGCGGUAAUACAGAGGGUGCAAGCGUUAAUCGGAAUUACUGGGCGUAAAGGGAGCGUAGGUGGCUCUAUAAGUCAGAUGUGAAAUCCCCGGGCUUAACCUGGGAACUGCAUCUGAAACUGUAGAGCUAGAGUAUGUGAGAGGAAGGUAGAAUUCCAGGUGUAGCGGUGAAAUGCGUAGAGAUCUGGAGGAAUACCGAUGGCGAAGGCAGCCUUCUGGCAUAAUACUGACACUGAGGCUCGAAAGCGUGGGUAGCAAACAGGAUUAGAUACCCUGGUAGUCCACGCCGUAAACGAUGUCUACUAGUCGUUGGGUCCCUUGAGGACUUAGUGACGCAGCUAACGCAAUAAGUAGACCGCCUGGGGAGUACGGCCGCAAGGUUAAAACUCAAAUGAAUUGACGGGGGCCCGCACAAGCGGUGGAGCAUGUGGUUUAAUUCGAUGCAACGCGAAGAACCUUACCUGGUCUUGACAUAUCUAGAAUCCUGCAGAGAUGCGGGAGUGCCUUCGGGAAUUAGAAUACAGGUGCUGCAUGGCUGUCGUCAGCUCGUGUCGUGAGAUGUUGGGUUAAGUCCCGCAACGAGCGCAACCCUUGUCCUUAGUUACCAGCGGGUUAAGCCGGGAACUCUAAGGAUACUGCCAGUGACAAACUGGAGGAAGGCGGGGACGACGUCAAGUCAUCAUGGCCCUUACGACCAGGGCUACACACGUGCUACAAUGGUAGGUACAGAGGGCAGCUACACAGCGAUGUGAUGCGAAUCUCAAAAGCCUAUCGUAGUCCAGAUUGGAGUCUGCAACUCGACUCCAUGAAGUAGGAAUCGCUAGUAAUCGCGGAUCAGAAUGCCGCGGUGAAUACGUUCCCGGGCCUUGUACACACCGCCCUGCACCAU